rnacentral:rRNA from 1 species
AAUCAACGCUGGCGGCGUGCCUCAGACAUGCAAGUCGAACGAUUAAACUUUCCUUCGGGAAAGAUAUAAAGUGGCGCACGGGUGAGUAACACGUAAGUAAUCUACCUUUGAGUGGGGAAUAACGUUCGGAAACGGACGCUAAUACCGCAUAAUGCAGCGGCAUCGCAAGAUGACAGUUGUUAAAGAUUUAUCGCUUGAAGAGGAGCUUGCGGCAGAUUAGCUUGNGGUAAGGUAACGGCUUACCAAGGCUACGAUCUGUAUCCGGUCUAAGAGGACGGUCGGACACACUGACACUGAAUAACGGGUCAGACUCCUACGGGAGGCAGCAGUCGGGAAUUUUGGGCAAUGGGGGGAACCCUAGACCCAGCAACGCCGCGUGAAGGAUGAAGUAAUUUCGGUAUGUAACUUCGAAAGAAUAGGAAGAAUUAAUGACGGUACUAUUUAUAAGGUCCGGCUAACUACGUGCCAGCCGCCGCUGUAAC